rnacentral:rRNA from 1 species
UACGUAGGGUCCGAGCGUUGUCCGGAAUUACUGGGCGUAAAGAGCUCGUAGGUGGUUUGUCGCGUUGUUCGUGAAAACUCACAGCUCAACUGUGGGCGUGCGGGCGAUACGGGCAGACUUGAGUACUGCAGGGGAGACUGGAAUUCCUGGUGUAGCGGUGGAAUGCGCAGAUAUCAGGAGGAACACCGGUGGCGAAGGCGGGUCUCUGGGGCAGUAACUGACGCUGAGGAACGAAAGCGUGGGUAGCGAACAGG